rnacentral:lncRNA from 1 species
AUGCCAGUGAGAGAGGGAACACAGCAGAGGGAGUGGGAGAGGAAGAAGCAGGCUCCUAGCGGAAAGACCCUGACGUGGGGCUUGAUCCCAGAACUCAGGGAUCAUGCCCUGAGCCGAAGGCAGACGCUCAACGACUGCGCCACCCAGGUGCCCCACAUUCAAGGUUUUAAUUUGUUUCGUUGUUUUCCUUUUUACAAUUCAUUUUUUUACUUCAUUCAUUACUAACAAAAUGGCGGUAUGUGAUCUGAUUUUAGGAACACCCUUACCCGACACACACACACACACACACACACACACACACACACACGAUUGGUAAAAGUUAAACAUUACUUUACAACCAUGGAGGGUAAUCAUGGUUCUCUGGUACCAACUGGAAACACAAUAUGCAUAGUUUUUGUCGUUUUUUUUUUUUUUUAAAGAUUUUAUUUAUUUAUUCAACAGAGAUAGAGACAGCCAGCGAGAGAGGGAACACAAGCAGGGGGAGUGGGAGAGGAAGAAGCAGGCUCAUAGUGAAGGAGCCUGACGUGGGGCUCGAUCCCGUAACACCGGGGUCACGCCCUGAGCCGAAGGCAGACGCUUAACCGCUGUGCCACCCGGGCGCCCCUUGUUGUUGUUUUUAAGUAGUGCAGUUAUUUGAUACUGAACACUUUCUAGUGGUGAGUCCAGGAGAGUUUUGAAAAAUUAGAUCAUCUUUUCAUCUGUAACACUUUGUGCAGUGAAUAUCAUGAUGCCCAUUUUACAGAAGGGCAACCACAAGGUGAAGUCUCAGAAAACCUGAACAUUUGACUUAAGUCACCAGUUAGGAAGUAGAGAAACUAAAGCCAGAUCUGACUGUUAAAAAUUAUGCUGUACAAAUUCAUUCUCUGAGACGACCUCUCAAAUGUGUGUUUGGAAGUCAGGAAAUGCAUGGGGUGGGCACUAUCUUGUCUAGAUGAGGGACACAAUACCACAUGCUAUCAUCUCAACUGUUUCUGCGAUUAGUAGGCUCUGCCAGGAAUUCUCUUUCUUAGAAAUUAAAAGGGCUUGUCUGUUCUUCAAAUGCCAUCUUUCAGCAGCUGAGAACGUAUUCAGCUUUUCUAACCCUGGGGCCAAAUAGAGACACAGUUUAUAGUGAUAAAAACCUGGUUGAUGGGGUGCCUGGGUGGCUCAGGCGUUAAGCGUCUGCCUUCAGCUCAGGGCGUGAUCCCGGCGUUCUGGGAUCGAGCCCCGCAUCAGGCUCCUCCACUGGGAGCCUGCUUCUUUCUUUCCUACUCCCCCUGCUUGUGUUCCCUCUCUCCCUGGCUGUCUCUCUCUCUUGUUAAAUAAAUAAAUAAAAUCUUUUUAAAAAAAAUAAAAAUAAAAAUAAAUAAAAAAUAAAAACCUGGUUGACCUGGAUGAAAGUGAGUCAUAGAGGGAACCGUUGAGGGAAUCAGAAUUC